CGCAGAGCAGCUUGAAAAUGUCCCUCGUGAGAUGCAGUUAAACCAACCACAUUUUUGUCGACAUGGUUGCACCGCCAUGUUGGUAAGGGAAUUUGGUUCAGGAUAAGUGUUGGUUUUGGGUUCCACCCGGACUCCUCCCAGCUACCUCGUCCUUCACACACAGGAUUUGAUCAAGAGAGCUACGGAGUAACCGAGGUGAUGCCAAGCUGCCAAAGAGAGAGAGACGGAGCAGAGACAUUGCAGAGGCGGUUUUGUAACUAACCGUGCACCGAUGCUAAAUUUGAACAAUAAUUUGCCUGGUUAAUACUAUUUUCUUACGAAUAAUAAAUGCCCCUAUAUUUAUUACAGUUUUGUUAGCUUGAAACCAACUACAAAGCAUUACUCAGAGUGUCAGUCUGGUAACUGUAUAUGCUACAUGUAAUGUAAACUACUAUGAAUAAUAAUAAUAAUAAUAAUAAUAAUAAUAAUAAUAAUAAUGACGACGACAACUUAAACUAUCAAUGUUAGGAUUCGACCUGUGUGUUUAUUUUUAAGCAUCAGAAUAAUAUUCUCACAGUUAAUCGUUGGGUUUAAUGUAGCAUCAGGUAUGUUCUGCUGCACACAACUCACUAUCCUAUUUAUUGUCUUAAUAUAUUUAAAUAAAAAAUCCAAAUAUCGAUAUUGCUGUAUUUACUGCAUUUUGGUGGCACAUUACACAGCACUGGGAAAAUGAGUGUCUGUUUUUCUUGUGUCAUAAGGGCGCCUGACCAAACAUUAAAUUCUGUGCUGGAAGAAAUUCAAGCAUGCAUAUUGGUGUACAUUAUUGGCUAAAAUAACAAAAACUACCGAUAGCCGAUUGUGUUUUUUGUCCCCUUAUAUCGGUGCCAUGCCAAUAGGUUAUCGGUGCACCCCUAGUUUCCAUGUUAACGGAUAAAGUUAAUCCCGCAUUCUGUGUUUCCAGUAACUUCAGAAUUAAGGCCAAAGAACCUAAUGCUUGUUGGGAGUUAGACUGGAGUGACAUUGUACCACAUUUUUUUCUGUACAGUAGCUAAACAAAUGUGCCUUUUUUAUGUGGAAUUUAGCUCCACAGUAAAUCAACAGGAUUCCAGUGAGUUUACUGGUGUGGUGUGCAUGAACUGUGUUUCCCACGUUCUUCAGCCACUUCCUACAUCCCUUUUUGUAUUCUUUAGUUAAAGCAUCACAGGAAGUGGUUGAAUAUGAUCACGACAGGCACAAUAUCAACACAGUUCAGAAAUGGACAUGGACAAUUCCACAGAUAGAGGACGUGGCAUUAGAGACUCAAAUAUUUGUAUUUUUAUAACAAACCCAUUUUAUUUGUAAAACGUAAAAGAAGUACAUCAUCUGCUAAUAUAUUUAAGUGCUAAAGCUUUUUUGUGACCGUCUUGGCAGUACAUUCAUACAAACUUGUGCUCUACGACACUUUAAUUAAACAGAAAGCAGAUUUUGUUGGAUUGUCCAAUUUUGCGUUUAAAAAAAAAAAAAAAAAAAAAAAAAAAAGUAAACUGUGAUAGAUGCUGUUAAGCAGUGUUCGUCAGUUGUAGAAAUGCACUAACCAGUG